AGAAAUGGGAGCUGUUCAAUAGUUCUAGGACAAUUUAAAAGUUUCUCAUCAAACAAAUGGAAUCUUCAGAUUUGAGGAUGUUUUGGACCAAAAACAUUGCCUUUAGCUUUAACAAAAAAAAGUAACAUUGUGAUCAGAAUCACCAAAGGUAAUUGCUUGCUUUCGUCUUCUGAAGAGGGUUGUUGGUUUGGAAGAUGGAGAAAUCAUAGGCCAAGCAGCGACUGUGAUCAGAAUCACCAAAGGUAAUUGCUUGCUUUCUUCUUCUGAAGAGGGUUGUUGGUUUGGAAGAUGGAGAAAUCAUAGGCCAAGCAGAGAAGGCAACCACCCUCCAAGAAAUCCCCUUUUCUCUCCGUUGGCCUCAUUAUUUAUACUGUGCCGAGGCUCCAUCCAC
rnacentral:lncRNA from 1 species